rnacentral:rRNA from 1 species
GAUGAACGCUGGCGGCGUGCCUAAUACAUGCAAGUCGAGCGAACAGAUGAGGAGCUUGCUCCUCUGACGUUAGCGGCGGACGGGUGAGUAACACGUGGAUAACCUACCUAUAAGACUGGGAUAACUUCGGGAAACCGGAGCUAAUACCGGAUAAUAUAUUGAACCGCAUGGUUCAAUAGUGAAAGACGGUUUUGCUGUCACUUAUAGAUGGAUCCGCGCCGCAUUAGCUAGUUGGUAAGGUAACGGCUUACCAAGGCGACGAUGCGUAGCCGACCUGAGAGGGUGAUCGGCCACACGGGAACUGAGACACGGUCCAGACUCCUACGGGAGGCAGCAGUAGGGAAUCUUCCGCAAAGGGCGAAAGCUUGACGGAGCAACGCCGCGUGAGUGAUGAAGGUCUUCGGAUCGUAAAACUCUGUUAUUAGGGAAGAACAAAUGUGUAAGUAACUAUGCACGUCUUGACGGUACCUAAUCAGAAAGCCACGGCUAACUACGUG